CUCUUGGUCUCGCUGAAUGUGGCGUUUGGGAGAGUCUUAUCGCGGCGUGGACGGCCAGUCAAAGUCCAACUUGACAGUGGCCAUGGCCCGUAGAGGGUGAUAGGCCCGUAAGACGGCUGUCUCACUGCGCUGACUUUUCCCUAGAGUCGGAUUGCUUGGGAGUGCAGUCCAAAGUGCGAGGUAAACUCCUCGUAAGGCUAAAUAUGACCCCGAGUCCGAUAGCAAACAAGUACCGUGAGGGAAAAUUGAAAAGAACUUUGAAGAGAGAGUUCAAGAGUACGUGAAACCGUCUAGCGGUAAAGAGAGGGGUUCUCGAAGUUUCUGAGGGGGACUCAACCUUGGUGGUGCUUGGCCUGGGCGUAUUUGAUCAGCAAUGACUUUGCGUUUAGUCCCAUGUGCCUCCCGGACGCACUUUCUCCUCAGUUUACGGCAGGAACCGUUAGAUGUGGACUGAAGGCCCAGGGUGAAGUUGUUGGUUAUGCUGGCAGCCCUUGGUGUCCUAGCUUCGCGUCUGACGGGUAUGUAAGUGAACUCGUAUAGCGAGCGAUUCUCUAUUGC
rnacentral:rRNA from 1 species